rnacentral:snRNA from 1 species
AUACUUACCUGGCAGGGGAGAUACCAUGAUCAUGAAAGUGGUUUUCCCAGGUUGAGGCUCACCCAUUGCACUUUGGGUAUGCUGAUCCCUAUGAUUUCCCCAAAUGUGGGAAACUUGACUGCAUAAUUUGUGAUAGUGGGGGACUGUGUUUGUGCUUUCCCAUG